rnacentral:rRNA from 1 species
GACGAACGCUGGCGGCGUGCCUAAUACAUGCAAGUCGAGCGGACGAAUCGAAAGCUUGCUUUUGAUUCGUUAGCGGCGGACGGGUGAGUAACACGUGGGCAACCUGCCCUGUAGACGGGGAUAACACCGAGAAAUCGGUGCUAAUACCGGAUAACACGAAAUGUCGCAUGACGUUUCGUUGAAAGACGGCGCAAGCUGUCGCUACAGGAUGGACCCGCGGCGCAUUAGCUAGUUGGUGAGGUAACGGCUCACCAAGGCGACGAUGCGUAGCCGACCUGAGAGGGUGAUCGGCCACACUGGGACUGAGACACGGCCCAGACUCCUACGGGAGGCAGCAGUAAGGAAUCUUCCGCAAUGGACGAAAGUCUGACGGAGCAACGCCGCGUGAGCGAAGAAGGCCUUCGGGUCGUAAAGCUCUGUUGUUAGGGAAGAACAAGUAACGCAGUAACUGGCGUUACCGUGACGGUACCUAACGAGAAAGCCACGGCUAACUACGUG